CCAUUUGCUCCUUCUUCCUCUGUCGGCCGCACACGCCCCUCUCUCUAUCUCUCUCCCCGGCUCCCCCCUUCUUCCUCUCACCUUCUCUCUGUCACGCCGGAAAGCUCGACUUCCGGCCGUUGACUUUUGGCAUUGCCACCACCAAAAGAUAGCCUAGGCGAUGGAGAACAAAACCCAGCCACCCCGCCCUCGAUCGAGAUCGCCGAACCACCACACACGACCCCUAAAGCUAUGCCGUUGCUGUUCCUUAACCCUCUUCGAUCUCCGGCCAUCUUUUCAACCUAAAACACGAUGGAUUGGUACCAGAGAGUGGAGAAGCCAAGAGCAAAGACGCCAAUUGAUGAGAAUGAGAUUAGGAUUACGAGCCAAGGGAGGAUGCGAAACUACAUCACUUACGCCAUGACUCUGCUUCAGAAAUCAAAUCUACAAAUGAUACAAGCAGAGACCAACUGAUGGCUACUGCAGUGUCUAACUCAACCACUAGUAACACAGAAAGUAAUGCAUCCACUUCAAAAUUUGAAGAGGAACUUAAAGUUGCUUCAAGGUUGCGAAAAUUUGCUUUUAACGAUCUUAAAUUGGCAACAAGAAAUUUCAGACCUGAAAGUCUUCUUGGUGAAGGUGGUUUUGGUUGUGUGUUCAAGGGGUGGAUAGAAGAAAAUGGAACUGCUCCAGUCAAACCUGGCACAGGACUUACUGUUGUGGUUAAAACUCUUAAUCAUGAUGGGCUUCAGGGUCAUAAAGAAUGGCCGGCUGAAGUAAAUUUCCUUGGUGACCUUGUCCAUCCAAACUUGGUAAAACUUAUUGGAUACUGCAUUGAAGAUGAUCAAAGGCUGCUAGUGUAUGAGUUCAUGCCUCGAGGGAGCUUGGAGAACCACCUAUUUAGGACAGGGUCCCUGCCUCUUCCAUGGUCUAUUAGAAUGAAAAUUGCAUUGGGUGCGGCAAAAGGUCUUGCUUUUCUUCAUGAGGAGGCAGAAAGACCUGCGAUUUAUCGUGACUUUAAAACCUCCAACAUCUUAUUGGAUGUAGUAUGUGCUUAACACUUUGGUAGAGAAGAGCAGAGAGAUCCAUAAGUUCCUUCUUUUCCAAAGUCCUUGCUAUGUUUGUCUAACUGAUACAAGGAUGCUAGUAAGACUUCAUUCAAGUCCUCAACUCGGUUAGUAUAUGAUGCAAGACUACCUAAAAACUUGGGAAGAUCAGAGAUCGAUGCUCAAGCUUCAAUCAAAUUUUGUACAAGUACUUUCACUUUUUGUUAGACUAGUCUGUAGCACUUAAAUGCAGAUAUGAAACUAUCUAAACAAUGGAUAUGUUAAUUCCUGUGUUGGGAUGAAAUAGUUUUUGGAAUUAAUGGAUGCGUUUCUGGAAUCA